CCUCAUAUAGGGCUCUGGAUGAUU
rnacentral:piRNA from 1 species